rnacentral:rRNA from 1 species
AUUGAACGCUGGCGGCCGGCUUAACACAUGCAAGUCGAGCGAGAGGCGGACGGGUGAGUAAUGUAUGGGAACCUGCCUGAUGGAGGGGGCUAACUACUGGAAACGUUAGAUAAUCCCGCAUACCAUAGGAUGUGCCCAGAUGGGAUUAGCUAGUAGGUGGGGUAAAGUCUCACCUAGGCGACGAUCCCUAGCUGGUCUGAGAGGAUGACCGGCCACACGGGGACUGAGACACGGCCCAGACUCCUACGGGAGGCAGCAGUAGGGAAUAUUGGGCAAUGGGCGAAAGCCUGACGGAGCCAUGCCGCGUGUGUGAAGAAGGCCUUCGGGUUGUAAAGUACUUUUGUCGGGGAGGCGUUACCCGCAGAAAAAGCACCGGCUAACUCCGUGCCAGCAGCCGCGGUAAUAC